rnacentral:rRNA from 1 species
AAUGAAAUGAAAGGAGUCUAAUUCAUAAAUCCAUUAUACAUGGAUUAUACCUUGUAGUUUAGUUAGUUGAAUACCUUUUGACUAUAACAAGCUUGAUCAACUUUAAGAUCCAAGAGGGUGAUUUUCCCGUAUGUUAAUAAGUCAGGAGUUGCUUCCAACUUAAUCAUUGAGUAGUGUUCUUUGGUACUAGAGCUCGAAGUGUGUGGUGAUAUUCACAAAAGGCUCAUCAUUGGUGGGAGACCUUUAGUGUACAAGUACCGUGAGGGAAAGAUGAAAAGAACUUUGGAGAGGGAGUUAAACAGUAUGCGAACAUGUUGGUAGAAAGCGAAUCAAUUUAAUAGGCAUUACUUUGAAAAUUUGGUAAAUGUUCAAUCUAUAUACUCUAAAUCUAGAUAUAUUUGAAUCCUUUACUAUUCAGAGUGAGGUGUAUAUGUCUUAAAUUAUCCUGAUCCGACCCGUCUGGAAACACGGACCAAGGAGUCUAGUAUGGAUGCGAGAUUUCGGGAUAUUAAAUUCCUUAGUCGUAGGUAACUUAGAUCGUGUUUAUCUUUUUGCUAAGAUAUAAUCGCGGGCAGUGUUUUUCCCUAGCAAGAGCAUAUAU